rnacentral:rRNA from 1 species
UAGAGUUUGAUCCUGGCUCAGAACGAACGCUGGCGGCGUGCCUAACACAUGCAAGUCGAACGGUAACAGGAACUUCGGUUCGCUGACGAGUGGCGCACGGGUGAGUAACGCGUGGGUAUAUGCCUAUCAGUGGGGGACAACUUCGGGAAACCGGAGCUAAUACCGCAUACGAUCCAAGGAUGAAAGCGGGGGCUCUUUUAGACCUCGCGCUGAUAGAUUGGCCCGCGUCUGAUUAGCUAGUUGGUAAGGUAAUGGCUUACCAAGGCGAUGAUCAGUAGCUGGUUUGAGAGGAUGAUCAGCCACACUGGAACUGAGACACGGUCCAGACUCCUACGGGAGGCAGCAGUGGGGAAUUUUGCACAAUGGGGGAAACCCUGAUGCAGCGACGCCGCGUGCGGGAAGAAGGCCUUCGGGUUGUAAACCGCUUUCAGCAGGGAAGAAGGGAUGAGGGUUAAUACCCCUCUGACUUGACGGUACCUGCACAAGAAGCUCCGGCUAAUUUCGUGCCAGCAGCCGCGGUAAUACGAAAGGGGCAAGCGUUGUUCGGAUUUACUGGGCGUAAAGAGAUCGUAGGUGGUUUGUUAAGUCGGAUGUGAAAUCCCGGGGCUCAACCUCGGAACUGCAUUCGAUACUGGCAGACUGGAGUUCGGGAGGGGUAAGCGGAAUUCCGUGUGUAGCAGUGAAAUGCGUAGAUAUACGGAGGAACACCUGAGGCGAAGGCGGCUUACUGGACCGAUACUGACACUGAGGAUCGAAAGCGUGGGUAGCAAACAGGAUUAGAUACCCUGGUAGUCCACGCCCUAAACGAUGUCUACUAGCCAUUGCGGGUAUCGACCCCUGCAGUGGCGCAGCUAACGCGAUAAGCAGACCGCCUGGGGAGUACGGUCGCAAGAUUAAAACUCAAAGGAAUUGACGGGGGCCCGCACAAGCGGCGGAGCAUGUGGUUUAAUUCGAUGCAACGCGAGAACCUUACCUGGGUUUGACAUCCUUGGAAUUCUCUAGAGAUAGAGAAGUGCCUUCGGGAG